GUUAAUUGAUUAUGACGUGCUUGCACUGAAUGAGAUUUUAACACGAAGUGAGUGGCGGACGGGUGAGUAACACGUGGGUAACCUGCCCAGAAGCAGGGGAUAACACCUGGAAACAGAUGCUAAUACCGUAUAACAGAGAAAACCGCCUGGUUUUCUUUUAAAAGAUGGCUCUGCUAUCACUUCUGGAUGGACCCGCGGCGCAUUAGCUAGUUGGUGAGGUAACGGCUCACCAAGGCGAUGAUGCGUAGCCGACCUGAGAGGGUAAUCGGCCACAUUGGGACUGAGACACGGCCCAGACUCCUACGGGAGGCAGCAGUAGGGAAUCUUCCACAAUGGACGCAAGUCUGAUGGAGCAACGCCGCGUGAGUGAAGAAGGGUUUCGGCUCGUAAAGCUCUGUUGUUAAAGAAGAACGUGGGUGAGAGUAACUGUUCACCCAGUGACGGUAUUUAACCAGAAAGCCACGGCUAACUACGUGCCAGCAGCCGCGGUAAUACGUAGGUGGCAAGCGUUAUCCGGAUUUAUUGGGCGUAAAGCGAGCGCAGGCGGUCUUUUAAGUCUAAUGUGAAAGCCUUCGGCUCAACCGAAGAAGUGCAUUGGAAACUGGGAGACUUGAGUGCAGAAGAGGACAGUGGAACUCCAUGUGUAGCGGUGAAAUGCGUAGAUAUAUGGAAGAACACCAGUGGCGAAGGCGGCUGUCUGGUCUGUAACUGACGCUGAGGCUCGAAAGCAUGGGUAGCGAACAGGAUUAGAUACCCUGGUAGUCCAUGCCGUAAACGAUGAUUACUAAGUGUUGGAGGGUUUCCGCCCUUCAGUGCUGCAGCUAACGCAUUAAGUAAUCCGCCUGGGGAGUACGACCGCAAGGUUGAAACUCAAAAGAAUUGACGGGGGCCCGCACAAGCGGUGGAGCAUGUGGUUUAAUUCGAAGCUACGCGAAGAACCUUACCAGGUCUUGACAUCUUCUGCCAACCUAAGAGAUUAGGCGUUCCCUUCGGGGACAGAAUGACAGGUGGUGCAUGGUUGUCGUCAGCUCGUGUCGUGAGAUGUUGGGUUAAGUCCCGCAACGAGCGCAACCCUUAUUACUAGUUGCCAGCAUUCAGUUGGGCACUCUAGUGAGACUGCCGGUGACAAACCGGAGGAAGGUGGGGACGACGUCAAAUCAUCAUGCCCCUUAUGACCUGGGCUACACACGUGCUACAAUGGAUGGUACAACGAGUUGCGAAACCGCGAGGUUUAGCUAAUCUCUUAAAACCAUUCUCAGUUCGGACUGUAGGCUGCAACUCGCCUACACGAAGUCGGAAUCGCUAGUAAUCGCGGAUCAGCAUGCCGCGGUGAAUACGUUCCCGGGCCUUGUACACACCGCCCGUCACACCAUGAGAGUUUGUAACACCCAAAGCCGG
rnacentral:rRNA from 1 species